GAAAACACAAGCAUCUAUUAUUCAUGUUUACUCACACUCCAAACAAGAUAAAAUCGUCUCUCCCACAAGAAUAGUUCUCUCAUCGUUUACUUAGGGUAACCAGCAGGGGGAUAACCAGGCGGCGGAUAACCGCCAGCCUGUGGGUAACCAGCCUGAGGAUACGCUGGCGGUGGAUAACCUUGGGCCGGGCCCUGAGGCGGAGGGUAGCCAUAGGGUUGGCCAUAUGCCGGCUGAGGCGCAUAUCCUGCAUGGGGCGGAAUUGGCUGAUCUAAGCGCGACAUUUGCUGGACCUGAGGCACUGCCAUCACCGGUUGUGGCCCAAACUUCCCAUCUCUCUUGUCCAUCUCGACCUUGUGUUGUGUCUGCAUGCAUGCACAGACCGAGCAGUAGACAACAUCAGACAAGCAGUUCAGUAUUUGGGAUGCUUCUGAGAGCUCUUCACUUCCAACGAUCAUCGCGACAAUCGAGAAAAUACAUGCAAGUUGUUGUAGGCAAAACAUG
rnacentral:misc_RNA from 1 species